GGGAACUUGAGUGGGGAACUUCGUCUCGCACCUCCAGAAGGAGGGGAGGUUCAUCUCCGCUAUUCUCCCUCUAGGGUUUCAUUUGCGAGGCAGUGCUAGAGCUGUGGUGGAGGAGGAGCGAGCUCUUUGCGCGUCGGUGUAGCGCCACCUGCUGAGAGAGGCUUAAACCGAAGAAAUCACUAACAAUGGUGAGAACAUACACUUUCGCUGCUAUGGUGGCAGUGACGUACGCUAUAGUCACUAGCGGCGAUCACGUCUUUCGCUGGAUGGCAGAACGUCAAGAAAGCAAGAUGGAGCAGAUCAAAUUAGACAGGCAAGCAAUGAGGAUGCGGCGAGAGUUGCUCCGAGAACUGGAUGAGAAGAAUGCAGCUGCAGCAUAGACAACCCUAAUUCGUCCCAGCAGCAUCUUUUUAGGAACAGAUGAGUUGAUCAGCAAACCAAGGAAUUGCAAUCUAUGAAUAAAGUGUAGCAUCCAUUGUGAAGAGCAAAGGUGUGGUCGAUUUGCCAUGUGUCGGGAGUAAUUUGUUUUUAGAAUUGCCCCAUGUUAUCAAGACACUGAAGCAUUUCUUGAACCAUUAAACGCAUCUCCAUUGAUGGUCGUGUGUAUGUCCUACCCAAAAUAUAGUCUGAAAAUUUCAAUGAUAUAGUUAGUGCUCGUUUACUUUCCGUCA